rnacentral:rRNA from 1 species
UACGGAGGGUGCGAGCGUUAAUCGGAAUGACUGGGCGUAAAGGGUGCGUAGGUUGUUGCGUAAGUUACAUGUAAAAGCCCCGGGCUUAACCUGGGAAGGCCAUGUAAUACUGCGUAACUAGAGUAUGGGAGAGGGUAGUGGAAUUUCCGGUGUAGCGGUGAAAUGCGUAGAGAUCGGAAGGAACACUAGUGGCGAAGGCGGCUACCUGGCCUAAUACUGACACUGAGGCACGAAAGCAUGGGGAGCAAACAGG